rnacentral:rRNA from 1 species
UACAGAGGGGGCAAGCGUUGUUCGGAAUUACUGGGCGUAAAGGGCGCGUAGGCGGCCUUCUAAGUCGAACGUGAAAUCCCCGGGCUCAACCCGGGAACUGCGUCCGAUACUGGAAGGCUUGAAUCCGGGAGAGGGAUGCGGAAUUCCAGGUGUAGCGGUGAAAAUGCGUAGAUAUCUGGAGGAACACCGGUGGCGAAGGCGGC